GGAUCCUUGCUUGAGCAACGACGACCUCCCAUUCAAGCCGCUUCAUUCUUGGUUCAAGUGCAAUGUUAGCCUUGGCCGUUUGUCGGGUUUCCUGUGUUACGUACCUAGUGCGAUGGUAUUCGGUUGUAACAAUUGUCCCUCGUUCGUCUUGUGAUGCUUGUUUGAUGUGCGUCAUUGAUGAACCACGAAGCGCUCGUCGCGGUCCUCUUGGCUCACGCCUGUCGUGGGUCGUCUGCGGCUCGUGACUAGUUGCUUGUGCUCAUGGAUGCAGAAAUCAUUGAAGGUAUGGGGCGAUGACCCCUGUGUACCCGUAACUAAGCGUUCACCGCUAACCAGCGUACGACUGUCGUUGUCGUCUUCGGUCGGCCGGCUCUUUGGGUCGUGCCUUACCCGGGCGGCACCGACGUCUGUGAGGA
rnacentral:misc_RNA from 1 species